rnacentral:rRNA from 1 species
GACGAACGCUGGCGGCGUGCCUAAUACAUGCAAGUCGAACGCAGUGGGGACGGGUGAGUAACACGUGGGUAACCUCCCAUCAGAGGGGAUAACACUUGGAAACAGGUGCUAAACCGAUACUGAUGGAUGGACCCGCGGUGCAUUAGCUAGUUGGUGAGGUAACGGCUCACCAGGGCCACGAUGCAUAGCCGAACUGAGAGGUGGGUCUGCCACACUGGGACGGAGACACGGCCCAGACGCCUACGGGAGGCAGCAGUAGGGAAUCGGCGGGAAUGGACGAAAGUCUGACCGAGCAACGCCGCGUGAGUGAAGAAGGUUGUCGGAUCGUAAAGCUCUGUUGUUAAGGAAGCGGUACUUAACCAGAAAGGGACGGCUAACUACGUGCCAGCAGCCGCGGUAAUAC